rnacentral:rRNA from 1 species
UACGGAGGGUGCGAGCGUUGUUCGGAAUUACUGGGCGUAAAGGGCGUGUAGGCGGCCUGAAAAGUCAGAUGUGAAAGCCCUGGGCUCAACCCAGGAAGUGCAUUUGAAACUGCCGGGCUAGAGUAUGGGAGAGGAGAGUGGAAUUCCCAGUGUAGAGGUGAAAUUCGUAGAUAUUGGGAGGAACACCGGUGGCGAAGGCGACUCUCUGGACCAAUACUGACGCUGAGACGCGAAAGCGUGGGUAGCAAACAGG